CCUACGGGUGGCUGCAGUGGGGAAUAUUGCACAAUGGGGGAACCCCUGAUGCAGCAACGCCGCGUGAGUGAAGAAGUAUUUCGGUGUGUAAAGCUCUAUCAGCAGGGGAGAAGAUGCCGGUACGUGAAUAAGAAGCGCCGGCUAACUACGUGCCAGCAGCCGCGGUCAUACGUCGGGCGCAAGCGUUAUCCGGAUUUACUGGGUGGAAAGGGAGCGCAGACGGCAGUGCAAGUCUGGAGUGAAAGCCCGGGGCCCAACCCCGGAACUGCUGUGGAAACUGUGCGGCUAGAGUACUGGAGGGGCAGGCGGAAUUCGUAGUGUAGCGGUGAAAUGCGUAGAUAUUAGGAGGAACACCAGUGGCGAAGGCGGCCUGCUGGACAGUAACUGACGUUGAGGCUCGAAAGCGUGGGGAGCAAACAGGAUUAGAUACCCGUGUAGUC
rnacentral:rRNA from 1 species